ensembl:miRNA mdo-mir-12297c-3 mdo-mir-12297c-3
UCCUUUGCGUGGCCCCUUGUUCUGAGAGUAACUGAAGGAGAAUGAGGUGCCGCACAAAGGAUU